GCUUAACACAUGCAAGUCGAACGGUCUCUUCGGAGAUAGUGGCGGACGGGUGAGUAACGCGUAAGAAUCUACCUAUAGGUUCGGGACAACAGUUAGAAAUGACUGCUAAUACCGGAUAUGCCUUCGGGUGAAAGUUUUAAUGCCUGUAGAUGAGCUUGCGUCCGAUUAGCUAGAUGGAGUGGUAACGGCACACCAUGGCGACGAUCGGUAACUGGUCUGAGAGGAUGACCAGUCACACUGGAACUGAGACACGGUCCAGACUCCUACGGGAGGCAGCAGUGGGGAAUUUUCCGCAAUGGGCGAAAGCCUGACGGAGCAAUACCGCGUGAGGGACGAAGGUCUGUGGAUUGUAAACCUCUUUUGUUAGGGAAGAUAAUGACGGUACCUAACGAAUAAGCAUCGGCUAACUCCGUGCCAGCAGCCGCGGUAAGACGGAGGAUGCAAGCGUUAUCCGGAAUUAUUGGGCGUAAAGCGUACGUAGGCUGUUAGAUAAGUCUGUUGUCAAAGAGCGAGGCUUAACCUCGUAAAGGCAAUGGAAACUGUCUGACUAGAGAGAGAAAGGGGCAGGAGGAAUUCCAGGUGUAGCGGUGAAAUGCGUAGAUAUCUGGAAGAACACCAGUGGCGAAAGCGUCCUGCUGGAUCUCAACUGACGCUGAAGUACGAAAGCUAGGGGAGCGAAUGGGAUUAGAUACCCCCAGUAGUCCUAGCCGUAAACGAUGGGUACUAGGUGUUGGCCGUAUCGACCCGGUCAGUGCCGUAGCUAACGCGUUAA
rnacentral:rRNA from 1 species